UCAUCGCUGGGAGAUCUGCUGGCCAAGAAAGGUCCGCACAUUUUCGUGCAAACUUUGUUAACUAUUUAAGACAUAAUUUAGCAAAUUAUUUUCCUCCACGCUGCUGCUCGGGGGCGUGGCGGCUGGGAGGCGGCUCAUAAGUAAAUAUUAUGCAAAUGAGAGCUUGGGGACCAGUCCCCACCCCUCCUACCACCACCCUACCCUUGACAACAAGGGGCAAACUCAGCCUGCGAGAGCUUAGCUGCAGUGAAAGUUACUUUUUUUGAGCGCAGGAUGGGGGAGCAGGAGCAGCUGGCUUGGCGCCAUGUCCUUGCCAUGGCUGUUAGUUUUUUAAUCCUUUGCAGUUAUUAAUUUAAUCGCACAGCUGCAUUUCAGUAGCGUGUGCCGCAUGAAAAAGGAUGGUGCACAGUGCAUGAGGCUGGGGGUAUAAAGUAAGUCCUGGGAAAAUCGCGGAGAGGGACGCAAAGUUGGUGGCAACUUUUUGGCUGCCAGCCGUGACAGUCAGUCCGCUGGAUGGCUUGACAAACGCUUGACACAUAAAUCCGACGUUGGCUUUAAUUAGUCACUGGAUUUGUUGUCAAAAGUUGUAACUUUCACUUAAAUUAUUCAUGUAGCCGCUGUCACAUGACGCGUCGCGUCCAAAAAUCAUGGCCACCAAAAUGGGUAAAUCGCACUAUCUGUUUACGUUUCUUGGAAUUAUCAUCGAUAGGCGGCAAUUAAAAUUCAAGUCCAGAAGCCAAUGAAAUCAUCCUCAGUUUUCAUUAAGCCAAAGUUGGAUAAACAAAGUGUGCACGUGAAGAAAAUUCUCGGAAUGAAAUGGUUUUAAAAUUAUCAAAGAACAUCUAGAUUUAUUUAAAAAAAGAUGUACACAAUGCUGAAGCUAAAUUUAAAUAAUUCGAUUUCACUUUAAUUCCACAUGAA